GAGUUCGAUUAAGCCAUGCGAGUCAAGAGUUCUUCGUGAACUCGGCGGACUGCUCAGUAACACGUGGGUAAUCUACCCUAAGGUCAGGGAUAAUCCCGGGAAACUGGGAAUAAUACCUGAUAGGUGAAGAUGUCUGGAACGAUACUUCGCCCAAAGCUCCGGCGCCUUAGGAUGAGCCUGCGCCCGAUUAGGUUGUUGGUGGUGUAAAGGACCACCAAGCCCGUUAUCGGUACGGGUGUUGAGAGACAUAGCCCGGAGAUGGGGGCUGAGACACGGCCCCAGGCCCUACGGGGCGCAGCAGGCGCGAAAACUACGCAAUGCGCGAAAGCGUGACGUGGGAACUCCAAGCGCCUUGCCUUAGGGUAAGGCUUUUGUUUAGUGUAAGUAGCUAAACGAAUAAGUGCUGGGUAAGACCGGUGCCAGCCGCCGCGGUAACACCGGCAGCGCAAGUGGUGACCGCUUUUAUUGGGCCUAAAGCGUUCGUAGCCGGUUUGGUAAGUCUUUGGGUAAAUCCUCCAGCUUAACUGGAGGAAUUCCGGAGAUACUGCCAGACUUGGAGUUGAGAGAGGUCAGAGGUACCUCUGGGGUAGGGGUGAAAUCCUAUAAUCCUAGGGGGACCACCAGUGGCGAAGGCGUCUGACUAGAGCAAGCUCGACGGUGAGGGACGAAAGCCAGGGGCGCGAACGGGAUUAGAUACCCCGGUAGUCCUGGCCGUAAACGCUGCGCGCUAGGUGUUGCAUGCUCUACGAGGGCGUGCAGUGCCGAAGAGAAGUUGAUAAGCGUGCCGCCUGGGAAGUAUUACCGCAAGGUAGAAACUUAAAGGAAUUGGCGGGGGAGCACCACAAGGGGCGGAGUCUGCGGUUCAAUUGGAUUCAACGCCGGGAAACUCACCGGGAUCGACGGCAGAAUGAUAGCCAAGCUGAUGACUUUGCUUGACGAGCCGAGAGGAGGUGCAUGGCCGUCGUCAGCUCGUACUGUGAAGCGUCCUGUUAAGUCAGGCAACGAGCGAGACCCGUGCCCUAAGUUGCGACGUCU
rnacentral:rRNA from 1 species